UACAGAGGUCUCAAGCGUUGUUCGGAUUCAUUGGGCGUAAAGGGUGCGUAGGUGGCGCUGUAAGUCAGGUGUGAAAUUUCGGAGCUUAACUCCGAAACUGCAUUUGAUACUGCGGUGCUUGAGGACUGGAGAGGAGACUGGAAUUUACGGUGUAGCAGUGAAAUGCGUAGAGAUCGUAAGGAAGACCAGUGGCGAAGGCGGGUCUCUGGACAGUUCCUGACACUGAGGCACGAAGGCCGGGGGAGCAAACGGG
rnacentral:rRNA from 1 species